CCUCCACUGCCUCCCCAGUCCCCACCGACGGCGCGUGUACCAUCCGCAGAUCCGCUCCCCUGCCUCCAGUAGCCGGCGAGAGGACCUCUGCCUCCCCACAGAUGGCGCGAGGAACGCCGCCAUCCCAACCUCCCCGCCGCCGCAAGUUCUAGCUCAUCCGCCUCCGCCGCUGCUGCCAUUUCCUCGCGCCGACGGAGGCCAAGGGGCGGACCUCGUGUCUACCGGAUUCUCGGCCUUGGCCACCGUACGGCUGUUGGAGAGCUCUACAGUGCGCUAUUCUCCUCCCGUGAUAGCAAGCGUCGAGGUAGGAAGUCCUGCUCCGGCGGGUUGGCCGUGCCCCGAGUCUCCCGGAGUGGCCGGCGCACCUUCCCAGCUCAACCUCCGUGACCGAAAUUUCUGCCGGAGAAGCCUGCUGCCAGGCAGAUCGCCCGCAUCCUACCGUUUCCGCGCUUCUCCAACGCCCCCGCAUCUCCACAAGGUUCAUCAGUUCCCUCUCAUCUCCACACUGCAGGAAAUCCCCAGUAUUCGAUAACACCAUAAUUUAGUCCUUGUUCAUUUGCCUUCUCCAAAUUGUAAAUAGGUUGGUGUCCUGCACCACUGUAAACAAUUGGUGUAAGUUUGUACUACAUGGGUCCAUUGCCAUCUCAAUGAAAUAUUAUUGGCCAAUAUCUAAUUGAUACUGAGUACUACUGAUUGUGCUCGCUCUCUAGUGUUCUUGAGUAGAUUUUUAUACUGACAGUUUUUGGUCAUUCCAGCCCUUACAACAACCAGUAAACAGAUCUUUGGUAAUUGUUUUUUUUUCAGGGAUCAUUCUUCCUUAAUGCUCUUUCAUGUAAGAGCAACAAGGAGAUGUUUUAAUUUCAUACAAACCUGUAUUUAAUUGCAUACUACAUUCACUUGUAAGAUUUGGCUGUUUUCUUAUUUCCUCUUAAACUAACUGGCAUCUUUCCAUCAUAAACACAUCAAGUGAGCAUAACUUUUUCUGAAGGAGAUCAUACCCCUCAAGGAGUAGGUUCUUCAGAGAUACAUUGGUUUGUGUUGUACAGAUGUAAGACACAGUUUAACACAUCCUUUUACUAUUAGUUUAGAAGAGAACAUAAUUACUUGGGAACUCAUAGGCGAUAAGUCAAGAGUUCAGUAUCAAGAUGAUAUGCUGCUUGUACAUCCUUAGGCCUUGUCCUUCAACAACUGUUAUUUUUUACCAAAUUUUUUUGUAAAGAGUUUUUCUGUCAUUUUGACCUAUUUCUGCAUAGUCUUCUACUUAUGAACAGAAGCGGAAAAAGGACGUACCCAGUGCUGAGAGCUCCCGAAGCUGGGUAGACAAGGGAUUGCGCCAUAUCAAUGGACGAUUUUAUGGCGGGAACAAGCAUGUUUUUAAGAGAACUGUCCCGGGCCUAGUUGGUGCUUUAUUCAAAAUUGUUUUACACCUUCAAAGUCCACUCAUUUUCUGUAUCUUUAGUCGGUGCUGACUGAGAAUACCAUUUUCAGCUGGAUCACUACACACUCAAAUGGCUCAGAUCCAUUUAAUGGUCAUGUAGGAGCAUUAGAUCCAUAUGGACCUGAAGUUGUGCAGCUCCGUUGAAAGUUUGGUCUCUGGAAUAGUACUGAUGAAGUGGGGAUUUUUCGAGUAAGGAAGGAAGACCACCAACCGGGAGAAGGUCAUGUCAAGCAGGUCAGAAAGCAGUAGAACCUGAAGACAGUGAGCUGCCGGUGGGGAGUCUGUCGACGUGCUAGACGUGCAGUGCGGCUACCCCGAAUAUGAAGAAAGUGUAGAAGCUGGCGGCGCAAGGAGUACUGCGGCUACCCUGAAUAUAUUGGUUUAAAAAUUGUGAACCUUCCAGGGGGCCGAUUGUCUGAAGAACCUGAAGAAAGACAUGGAGUUCGUUUGGCAUCAGUCUAGUAUCGUACGUGACGUUGAUUCCCCUGCCAGAGCAUGCAGUUCGGCCUAGUCCCCGGCGUGCCGGCGGCCUGGAUUCUGUGUCGUGGACGGCGUCCUUGAUUCCCUUGCGUGGAGGGCGGAGGGCAUGCUCGGAAGCGAUUGGUCACCAGUGUGACGACGGCGAGAGGACUGUGUCGUGGACUGCGAUAGUGCAGCAGGGAGACGGCGGGGAGAAGAAGGCGUUUUGGAAGAGGAGAUGUGGACGCUGCUGGGCGACCGCGGCGAGAGGAAGGCGUGCUGGACGUCGACUGCUGCUGGGCGAC